GCAGUGCAGGACUAAGCAUGCUCAGUGCAAAAGCUUGUCUCCUUUGCCUGUCAAGCCCUAUGUUUGAACUCGUUCCAGAAUACUGGAUUUACUUUUCACAAGGAAAGAAUACCUGACUGGACUGCAUUUUUCCUUCUUUCUUCUGUGUAGUAACCAGAAGAUUGGAAACAGUAUUCUUUUAUGAUCAAUUCAGUCUCAGUAAUACAAUGUUGUUGAAUGCAAAUAUCACCAUGGCAAGAGAGAAAGAAGAGGAAACUUUGCUACCUGUAAAGUGAAGACUUCUUCUUAGGUCGCAGGGGAGAUAAGGCCAUUACAUUUAUAGUAUUGUCCACAGACUUCAUAAAUGUCGCAUUGGAAUAUAGAGCCAAAUUUUCAGCUGCAAUAAACUAAUACAGCUACAUUGAAGUCAAGGAAACUUCAGGUUUAUACCAGCCGAGGGUGUCCCUGAUAGUUUUGCCCCCAUCAACAAUAAAAAGAUCCCUGUCUACUAGGAAUUGAGCCCAUGAUACCAACUGUUUUCAUGCAGGCCACUGAACAGCCAUUGGAUGUCAAAAUUUCUCCCAUCUGUGAAUUUCACACCAUACGUUUAAAGAAACUGCUGGGUCUGGUGAAGGCACGUGAGUUGAAUGCUAGAAUGUACACCACAUUCCCCACAGCGAGCUUUCCACUCCCAGAGAAAGUUUGUGCAAGUCCUAAAAUAAUUUCAUCCCACCGGCCCACAAAUAUUCCCAUUUGAUGGAGAAAUUGAGGCACCAGAGAGGUAAUGACUUGCCUGCGGCCACACGAGUGAGUCAGCUUGGAUUAGACCAAAGGAGCUUCUGGCUUCUAUCCGUAUGUUCAUUUCUCCAGAGCAAGCAACGUCAGAUAGCAAAGUUCUUUCUACUUUUAAUAACUGGUUCUAAAAACUGACGUGUGUGUAUCUACAUCUACAUCUACAUCUACAUCUGUAUCUAUCAAUUGCUUUACCCAUUUCUGAAAUGCAGCUACUUCAGGGGUGGGAAACAGCUGUUGUUUAAUGGUGCGUAGCAAUACUUUGCAAUGUUUUAGGACAAGGUUGGAAAACUAUUGCAUUCAAUAAUUUGGUUAUGCAAUUACCCAAGUUUGAACUUGACCAACACAUCUAAAUUAGUACCACAUACUCUUACAAAGAUGGUCAUAGCAGCUUUAAUGAUCACAAGGGACGGAAGUUUUAUCCAGGAGUAUGUCUAGACCAGUGGUCUCCAACCUUUUUACACCGAAGAUCACUUUUUAAAUCUCAGAACAGGCGAAGAUCUACCGCCCCGCCCCUUCCUUGAAGUC